UUAGAACAGAUUAUUUCGGUAUGAAGUUUUUUAUGACUCAUUGGCGGACGGGUGAGUAACGCGUGGGUAACCUGCCUUGUACUGGGGGAUAGCAGCUGGAAACGGCUGGUAAUACCGCAUAAGCGCACAAUGUUGCAUGACAUGGUGUGAAAAACUCCGGUGGUAUAAGAUGGACCCGCGUCUGAUUAGCUAGUUGGUGAGAUAACAGCCCACCAAGGCGACGAUCAGUAGCCGACCUGAGAGGGUGAUCGGCCACAUUGGGACUGAGACACGGCCCAGACUCCUACGGGAGGCAGCAGUGGGGAAUAUUGCACAAUGGAGGAAACUCUGAUGCAGCGACGCCGCGUGAGUGAAGAAGUAAUUCGUUAUGUAAAGCUCUAUCAGCAGGGAAGAUAGUGACGGUACCUGACUAAGAAGCUCCGGCUAAAUACGUGCCAGCAGCCGCGGUAAUACGUAUGGAGCAAGCGUUAUCCGGAUUUACUGGGUGUAAAGGGAGUGUAGGUGGCCAUGCAAGUCAGAAGUGAAAAUCCGGGGCUCAACCCCGGAACUGCUUUUGAAACUGUAAGGCUAGAGUGCAGGAGGGGUGAGUGGAAUUCCUAGUGUAGCGGUGAAAUGCGUAGAUAUUAGGAGGAACACCAG
rnacentral:rRNA from 1 species